rnacentral:rRNA from 1 species
CCUAUUAAUUAAAGAGCGACGGGCGAUAUGUGCAUGCUUGAUUGCCUUUUCUUUAUAAAUUUCUUUUUUUAACAUUACUUUUAGAUUCUCUUUUUGAUCUUUUUCAGAGCUCUUUCAUUUUCUUUUCUCAGUGAAUCCCAUUUAGGUCUUUAGCAUAACUCUUGUCUUGAUUUGUUUUUUAAUGAAGCUAAUGUCAAAAAUAAAAUUUAUUCUCUUUUUUUAAAACAAUGAUAUAAGAAGUAAAAUCUUAAGCUUAUUUAAUCGUGGGUUAUCGGUUAUCUGACAGGAUUCUCUAAUUAGGUUAAGCACCGCCAUUAUGACUAGUUUUCAUUUAUUUAAUUACUAUCUUUCUUUGCUGUAAAG